rnacentral:rRNA from 1 species
GACGAACGCUGGCGGCGUGCUUAACACAUGCAAGUCGAGCGGUAAGGCCCUUUCGGGGGUACACGAGCGGCGAACGGGUGAGUAACACGUGGGUGACCUGCCCUUAGCUCUGGGAUAAGCCUGGGAAACUGGGUCUAAUACCGGAUAUGACUCCAUGACGCAUGUUGUGGGGUGGAAAGCCUUGUGCGGCUAGGGGAUGGGCCCGCGGCCUAUCAGCUUGUUGGUGGGGUGANGGCCUACCAAGGCGACGACGGGUAGCCGGCCUGAGAGGGCGACCGGCCACACUGGGACUGAGACACGGCCCAGACUCCUACGGGAGGCAGCAGUGGGGAAUCUUGCGCAAUGGGCGAAAGCCUGACGCAGCGACGCCGCGUGGGGAUGACGGCCU